ACACCAAUUGUUUCUGUUUUAAAUUCUAGGUCAAAAUGCAGAUCUUUGUGAAGACCCUGACUGGCAAGACCAUCACCCUGGAGGUGGAGCCCAGUGACACCAUUGAGAAUGUGAAGGCCAAGAUCCAGGAUAAAGAAGGCAUUCCCCCUGACCAGCAGAGGCUCAUCUUUGCAGGCAAGCAGUUGGAAGAUGGCCGUACUCUUUCUGAUUACAAUAUCCAGAAAGAGUCCACCCUGCACCUGGUCCUUCGUCUGAGGGGUGGCUGUUAAUUCUUAAGUCUGCAUUCAUGGUGCGCAGUUAUAGUAUUAUGCUGCACAUAGCCAUUUGCCCCAGUAUAAGUUUAGAAAUUACCAGUUUCAGUAAAAGCUGAACCUGUCCAAAAUGUUAAUAAAGUUUUGUUGCAUGGUAGCAUAUUUGGUGUUUGUUGUCUUUAAAUUUUGUAGUUAAUG
rnacentral:lncRNA from 1 species